UACAGAUCGUCAGCAACAAACGGUUUGCAGUUUGCAGAGCAUGUAGAUAUAAGGAUUACUCACAGAGAUUCAACAACCAACUUCAUCUGACUGUAGGAGCAGCAACAUCAAGUCAAACUGUGCUCAGGAUUCAAACAUUUGUAUGAGGAGAGGGCGAUCCAACAUCUUUUCCUCCCACAGCUAACAUGAACGGUGGAGGAAUACUGCUGACCUGUCCAGACAGGCUCAAAGACAGCUGGUCUCAGGAAUCCAGCAGAUCCAGGAAGGAAAAGCAAUCCACGAAAACCUGAGAACCGAUCUGUCCAGGGUGUACCCCGCCUUCGCCUAACAGCAGCCAGGACAGCCUCCAGGAACCAUGCACGAUAUUAGGGGUUAAAAAUGGACGGACGGACAACCAGAAACCAGAGUGUAAAAAUUCUUUAGUUAUUUAUACAGUCAGCAGUGGAUGCAGUUUGUUUUUUCGUAGAAAGAAAGCAGGUCAGCUUCUUUCACAUCACGUCAUGGAGGACAUUUUAAUGAAAAACUCUCAGUAUGAAGUUGGGUUACUCCUUAAAUCAGGGUGUGCUUCGACUGGCCAGGAGCCUCUCUGUAACCUGAUCACACCACUACCAUGUCCAGUGGGUCUGAGCUUUCAGCACGCUUCAUUCUCAUUCUACAUUUACUUUAGAUUAUAGAUAGGCAUGCCAUAGUGAUGUGAAACAGGAGCCGCGCUGAAACGGUUUCACCUAAAACUGCAGAACAAUUCAGUGUCUCUCCGAGAGUCCCAUAAUGGAAACCGGACCCUUUUUGUUUUGUUAUUAUGGGAACAUUAAAUUCUACAUUAAAGUUCAGCAACAAAAGACUUGAACACAAAUACAAAUUUUCUUUAGAAAACAUUUUUUGUUUUGGGUUUUUUUUUUAACAAUUAACAUCAAAUUUAGGGUAUAUUCAGACUGGAAAAGUCAGUUGGUCCGGACCGAGUCCACUCAUGAUCCUUGCGUUUGGUCUGUUUUUAGACCAAAACUUGCAAACAUAACCGAGUGACUAAAGAUCUCUUCAGUCGUUGGCCAAAAAUUACAAGGGUAGGGCAAAGAAACAUGGCGAAAGAAUAAUGGAAGUCCUACGCUGGGUUCACACUGGAUGCGGAAGCGCGUAGUGCAUGCAAAUUGCAGCGCUUCCACGUCCAGUGUGAACCUAGAGUUGUGCUUUAUAAUACUCGUCAGGACAGUUCACUUUUUCAGACUUUGGAUUUCGCCGACCAGUUGUGGACGUCUGUGUCAGAGUCAGGUACAACACUUUUUAUUGCUGCUUUGGUGCGGCGGAGAGGCGGUUACUGAAGAGACAAAGACUAAGAAGGAACUCUUCAUCUGACCACAUUUCAAUGAGUUGCUGUUGCAUCGCUGCUCCACGAUUGUUCACUGAUCUGUUUAUAUCCCAUAAUGCCUUGCUGCGGUGGCCAUUUUGGUUCAGUUGUUCCACUUUGAGCCAAUUAAGACUGAGAAAACUCCAAGUGAACCGGAGCUCAGUCCGACUGGAAACGAACCAAGACCACCUCGAAAGAUGGGUCAGAGAGUGGUGCUGGUCCUGGUUCUGGGUCCACUUGGGUGUAUUUAGACUAAAAAUAAGUUCUGGAUUACCGAGGGAAAGAAAGUCUGGUUCACCAAAUGUGUCCAGUCUAAAUACACCCUUAAACACAAACAUCUUCUAUGUGUUGUAUCAUUUACUUUGCUUUUAGAUUUGACAAAGAAUUUGGUAUUAAGUGGAGAUAAAUAAAAAUAAG